GGAAUAUUCCACAAUGGGCGAAAGCCUGAUGGAGCGACGCCGCGUGAGUGAAGAAGGGUUUCGGCUCGUAAAGCUCUUUUCUGGUAGACGAAUGACCGAUUAGAUUGGUAGGGACGGUAUACUGGGAAUAAGUCACGGCUAACUACGUGCCAGCAGCCGCGGUAAUACGUAGGUGGCAAGCGUUGUCCGGAAUUAUUGGGCGUAAAGCGAGCGCAGGCGGUUUCUUAAGUCUGAUGUGAAAGCCUUCGGCUUAACCGAAGAAGUGCAUCGGAAACUGGGAAACUUGAGUGCAGAAGAGGACAGUGGAACUCCAUGUGUAGCGGUGAAAUGCGUAGAUAUAUGGAAGAACACCAGUGGCGAAGGCGGCUGUCUGGUCUGUAACUGACGCUGAGGCUCGAAAGCAUGGGUAGCGAACA
rnacentral:rRNA from 1 species